GUGGGAACCUCUAGGGCGCCGCCCUGUUGCUACUGGUCAAUGUGGCCAGCGCAAUUACUAUUGAAAGAGCUGAGAACAAGUACAGGUCACCUUAUGCUUUGUCAUCUAAAAACGCAUACCUGAUGGCUUUAUGAAGGUGGUACGUUAAUAUUAAGUUUACAGAAAGCGAUCGCUAAGUCCGUGACUUAUGGAAAUCACGAUGUACGCAUUCAUGCAAUAAAGGAUGACGCGAAUUUCGGUUUCGAAUCUGUUUUUUGGAUGCGUAGUAGUUUCGUUUAGGGUUGACAUGCGAUCGCGCGUCGACAUCGGACGCUAUGGCACACUCGUGCCUUAUGUGCCACCGAAGCCCCGAAGUGGUCUGGCAUAUACCUUCACAUGUAAGUAAACGAAUGUAUCUCCUUGUUGAGAAUAUCACGCGAGUAGGCAGCUCUUGUGGUACAUCACAAUCGUUUGAGAAGCGUCACAGUAGAGCAUUUUUCUGCAUGCGGAGCGGUGUUUUUAUUUGCAGGUUUCCCUUCAGUAGGAAAUUGCUGGACAGGCGGACCAGCGCACCGGAAUUGUACUGGCGAAGCCACAAGCAACUGAAAGAAUCUGUUUAAUUGUUGCACUUUGAACAAUCAUGCUUCUACAAAGGCCACAGCAGAAAAACAGCCUGAUGCCGAGUAUUUCUGUGCCACGAAGUAAUCAAGAGGCGAGUGCGUAAUGCGGACGAAAUCGAGUGCAUCGAGACUUAGAACGACAGAAAGCUGAGCUAGUUGACAAUGCCUACGCCUAGCCACAGCAGCUCCCACAUACAGACUCCGCAAGCCAAGAGGCCGUGGAGGCAAAUGCAGGCAGCCAGCACACCUCGAACAGCCACCUUGACUGCGGGUGUGUCACCCUAGUCGCCAAGGAAACAUUUGAGGGAAAGUGACAGGCAAUGUGAACAGCCACUUCUCCAUGUAAACAAUACUCUUUCUCUCGGAUGACUCCUUUGCCUCGCCACGCCAGCACACUUGUGCACAAAGAUGCUGCAGAGGCACGUGCAGGUCAGAGGCAAGAAGCAGUGGCACUGGUGUCGACAUUUACCCAAUUUCUUUUUCUUACACUGAGGCAGCCAGCACACCUCGAACAGCCACCUUGACUGCGGGUAUGUUAGUAGAUUCCUGUUGUACAUAUGCUCAUAAUAAACUUCAGUAAACUUGAACUUCAUAAUAAACUUGAAGGCAAAUGGGACAUUGAUGCAUUGUAUUUUUGAACAUUUAUUGUACACAUACAAUGUAUGUUAUACUUUGCAGUGCUACAGAGCGUAUUUUGAAGCUUCCCCCUAUAUUUUGCACCUUUAAUUACGUAUGUGUUGUGUGGCCCUCAAUGCAGUUCAUGUUGUAGCAGCUGCUUUGUCUGUGUAUCGCACAUUGGCUUAAGCUCAUGAUAUCCACAUACUUCUCUCACAUAUACAAAAUGAAGUUCUAUGUAGUCCUCAGUGUUACAACAAAAAAUGAAAGUAAACAAUCCGAUCGUGGAAUUGUGUUUAUUACAGUGAUUCCUACGACAGUUACUGACAAGUUGACAACUUGAACUGGUCAAUCGGUCCAUAGCCUCCUCUAUUUUUCAAAAAUAAAGGAGGCUAUGAUCCGUCAUGGCAAGGAAUUGUAUGUAUACAUAAAAAAAUGGGGUAUGUGUGUGUUUGUAGUGGGGGUAUAGGAUUAGGGCGGUACGAAAAAAUGUACCAACACCGUCCUCUAGACCCAUCCCGUUAAGGUACCGUAACAAAGCGUAUUAUGCAUAAAGUUCAUACAACCAACUCUGAUAUUACUACAGACGCCAGGCGACGCGAGCUACAUUUGUCAUGAUGCAUUCGCGACUGCACCGGAUGCCCUCCACAUUAUUCUCGUUAAUCGUGCUCACUGCGCCGAGGCAAAAGAAAGAUCAUGGGCGCAGGUGCCUUUAAAGUAUCUCGACCUUGCGAGGCACGGCUGCGCGUGCCAGGGGAGCUGUCCGUGCGAACACUCCCUGGCACACACCUGCCUCGGCGGCCCCAACCUACGUACCGUUCUGCUUCGAGCUUUGAUCCCCCCACUGUCCCUCGGGUGCCCUGGAGUUCCUGCGCCGCCUGCUCUACUAUCAUCUCAGGUGCUCUCCUGAGACUUCCGUUUGUCGGUUACAUGUGCCCCACAGCUGGAUCAUUACUUAUAAUAAUAAAAAACCCGAUCUAUCGUCACGACGAUAGAUCGCGAAAGCGGCUUUUGCAACAUACCGCGCCCGUGCG